rnacentral:rRNA from 1 species
UACGGAGGGUGCAAGCGUUAUCCGGAUUCACUGGGUUUAAAGGGUGCGUAGGUGGGCUAGUAAGUCAGUGGUGAAAUCUCCGGGCUUAACCCGGAAACUGCCAUUGAUACUAUUAGUCUUGAAUGCCGUGGAGGUAAGCGGAAUAUGUCAUGUAGCGGUGAAAUGCUUAGAUAUGACAUAGAACACCGAUAGCGAAGGCAGCUUACUACAGGAUGAUUGACGCUGAGGCACGAAAGCGUGGGGAGCAAACAGG